rnacentral:rRNA from 1 species
UACAGAGGUGGCAAGCGUUGUUCGGAUUCAUUGGGCGUAAAGGGUGCGUAGGUGGCGCUGUAAGUCAGGUGUGAAAUUUCGGAGCUUAACUCCGAAACUGCAUUUGAUACUGCGGUGCUUGAGGACUGGAGAGGAGACUGGAAUUUACGGUGUAGCAGUGAAAUGCGUAGAGAUCGUAAGGAAGACCAGUGGCGAAGGCGGGUCUCUGGACAGUUCCUGACACUGAGGCACGAAGGCCAGGGGAGCAAACGGG